rnacentral:rRNA from 1 species
GUGGCGAACGGGUGAGUAACACGUAGGGAACCUGCCCCUAAGACGAGGAUAACUACUGGGAACGGUAGCUAAUACUGGAUAGGAUAAGUUGACGCAUGUUGGCUUAUUUAAAGGUGCCUAUAAGGCACCGCUUAGGGAUGGCCCUGCGGCGCAUUAGCUAGUUGGUGGGGUAACGGCCUACCAAGGCGACGAUGCGUAGCUGUGCUGAGAGGCAGAACAGCCACACUGGGACUGAGACACGGCCCAGACUCCUACGGGAGGCAGCAGUAGGGAAUUUUCGGCAAUGGGGGGAACCCUGACCGAGCGAUGCCGCGUGAGUGAUGAAGGUCUUCGGACUGUAAGACUCUGUUAUUAGGGAAGAAUACUAUAGGGAGGAAAUGCCUUAUAGAUGACGGUACCUAAUGAGGAAGCCCCGGUCAACUAUGUGCCAGCAGCCGCGGUAAUACAUAGGGGGCGAGCGUUAUCCGGAAUUACUGGGCGUAAAGGGUGCGUAGGCGGUUUCUUAAGUCUAGUGUGAAAGCCCACG